UACGUAGGGUGCGAGCGUUAAUCGGAAUUACUGGGCGUAAAGCGUGCGCAGGCGGUUCGUUGUGUCGGCGGUGAAAGCCCCGGGCUCAACCUGGGAAUGGCCGUUGAAACUGGCGAACUGGAGUGUGGCAGAGGGGGGUGGAAUUCCGCGUGUAGCAGUGAAAUGCGUAGAGAUGCGGAGGAACACCGAUGGCGAAGGCAGCCCCCUGGGCUGACACUGACGCUCAGGCACGAAAGCGUGGGGAGCAAGCAGG
rnacentral:rRNA from 1 species